rnacentral:rRNA from 1 species
CCUACGGGGGGCUGCAGUAAGGAAUAUUGGUCAAUGGAGGAAACUCUGAACCAGCCAUCCCGCGUGAAGGAUGAAGGGGCUCUGCCUUGUAAACUUCUUUUGUCUGGGGCGAAAAAGCUCGAUUUAUCGAGAACUGACGGUACCAGAAGAAUAAGCACCGGCUAACUCCGUGCCAGCAGCCGCGGUAAUACGGAGGGUGCAGGCGUUAUCCGGGUUCACUGGGUUUAGAGGGUGCGUAGACUGCUUAGUAAAAGGCUGUGGCUUAACCGUGGAAUUGCCAUUGAUACUGCAGGGCUUGAGUGAGGUUGAGGUUGGCGGAAUGUGACAUGUAGCGGUGAAAUGCUUAGAUAUGUCAUGGAACACCGAUUGCGAAGGCAGCUGACUGGACCUAUAUUGACGCUGAGGCACGAAAGCGUGGGGAGCGAACAGGAUUAGAUACCCGAGUAGUC